UCCCUGGUGGUCCAGUGGUUAGGACUCUGCACUCUCACUGCCGAGGGGGCCCAGGUUUAAUCCCUGGUCAGGGAA